GAUGAACGCUAGCGGCAGGCUUAAUACAUGCAAGUCGUGGGGCAGCAGGUUUGUAGCAAUACAGAUGCUGGCGACCGGCAAACGGGUGCGGAACACGUACAGAACCUUCCUUUGAGCGGGGAAUAGCCCAGAGAAAUUUGGAUUAAUACCCCAUAGUAUAAUGAAGUGGCAUCACUUUAUAUUAAAGAUUUAUCACUCGAAGAUGGCUGUGCGGCUGAUUAGGUAGUUGGCGGGUAAAGGCCCACCAAGCCUGCGAUCAGUAACUGGUGUGAGAGCACGACCAGUCACACGGGCACUGAGACACGGGCCCGACUCCUACGGGAGCAGCAGUAAGGAAUAUUGGUCAAU
rnacentral:rRNA from 1 species